AACGAACGCUGGCGGCAUGCCUAACACAUGCAAGUCGAACGAGACCUUCGGGUCUAGUGGCGCACGGGUGCGUAACGCGUGGGAACCUGCCCUUAGGUUCGGAAUAACUCCCCGAAAGGGGUGCUAAUACCGGAUAAUGUCUUCGGACCAAAGAUUUAUCGCCUUUGGAUGGGCCCGCGUUGGAUUAGCUAGUUGGUAGGGUAAAAGCCUACCAAGGCGACGAUCCAUAGCUGGUCUGAGAGGAUGAUCAGCCACACUGGGACUGAGACACGGCCCAGACUCCUACGGGAGGCAGGAGUGGGGAAUAUUGGACAAUGGGUGAAAGCCUGAUCCAGCCAUGCCGCGUGAGUGAUGAAGGCCGUAGGGUUGUAAAGCUCUUUUACCCGGGAUGAUAAUGACAGUACCGGGAGAAUAAGCUCCGGCUAACUCCGUG
rnacentral:rRNA from 1 species